CGUGACGGCGCGAGCAGGUGCGAAAGCAGGUCAUAGUGAUCCGGUGGUUCUGAAUGGAAGGGCCAUCGCUCAACGGAUAAAAGGUACUCCGGGGAUAACAGGCUGAUACCGCCCAAGAGUUCAUAUCGACGGCGGUGUUUGGCACCUCGAUGUCGGCUCAUCACAUCCUGGGGCUGAAGUAGGUCCCAAGGGUAUGGCUGUUCGCCAUUUAAAGUGGUACGCGAGCUGGGUUUAGAACGUCGUGAGACAGUUCGGUCCCUAUCUGCCGUGGGCGCUGGAGAACUGAGGGGGGCUGCUCCUAGUACGAGAGGACCGGAGUGGACGCAUCACUGGUGUUCGGGUUGUCAUGCCAAUGGCACUGCCCGGUAGCUAAAUGCGGAAGAGAUAAGUGCUGAAAGCAUCUAAGCACGAAACUUGCCCCGAGAUGAGUUCUCCCUGAGACUUAGAGUCUCCUGAAGGAACGU
rnacentral:rRNA from 1 species